rnacentral:rRNA from 1 species
AGAGUUUGAUCCUGGCUCAGGAUGAACGCUGGCGGCGUGCUUAACACAUGCAAGUCGAACGAAGCAUUUAAGGACGAUUCUUCGGAUGAGGACUUUUAUGACUGAGUGGCGGACGGGUGAGUAACGCGUGGGUAACCUGCCCUAUACAGGGGGAUAACAGUUAGAAAUGACUGCUAAUACCGCAUAAGCGCACUAGAACCGCAUGGUUCGGUGUGAAAAACUGAGGUGGUAUAGGAUGGACCCGCGUCUGAUUAGCUUGUUGGUGGGGUAACGGCUCACCAAGGCGACGAUCAGUAGCCGGCCUGAGAGGGCGACCCCCCACAUUGGUACUGAGACACGGACCAAACUCCUACGGGAGGCAGCAGUGAGGAAUAUUGGUCAAUGGACGCAAGUCUGAACCAGCCAUGCCGCGUGCAGGAAGACGGCUCUAUGAGUUGUAAACUGCUUUUGUACGAGGGUAAACGCAGAUACGUGUAUCUGUCUGAAAGUAUCGUACGAAUAAGGAUCGGCUAACUCCGUGCCAGCAGCCGCGGUAAUACGGAGGAUUCAAGCGUUAUCCGGAUUUAUUGGGUUUAAAGGGUGCGUAGGCGGUUGGAUAAGUUAGAGGUGAAAUCCCGGGGCUCAACUCCGGAAUUGCCUCUGAUACUGUUCGGCUAGAGAUCAGUUGCGGUAGGCGGAAUGUAUGGUGUAGCGGUGAAAUGCUUAGAGAUCAUACAGAACACCGAUUGCGAAGGCAGCUUACCAAGCUGAAUCUGACGUUGAGGCACGAAAGCGUGGGUAGCAAACAGGAUUAGAUACCCUGGUAGUCCACGCAGUAAACGAUGAUAACUCGUUGUCGCGANUCACCGAGGGGAAUGAGAAAGGAGAUAUUUUCCCCCGAGGGGAUCUUUCGAAAAAAAAAAAUAAAAAGAUUGGCGGCGCCCCCCCAAGGGAAGAAUCAGUGUUUUAUGUGUGGUCCCGGAGGCACCUUCCCCGGGCCUAAAAUAUGGAGGUAAUUGAAAGAGUUUCUCCCGUGGGGCACAGAAUAGGGGUGUUGCAGGGGUGUCGCCGGCUCGGCGGGGGGGGGGUUGGUUAUUAGUCCCGACGCGAGCGCCCCCCCUUUUUUUCCAGUGGUAGGGGGUUAAGCUGACCCAUGUGGGGGGACCGCCAGCGAGAAGAGCUGGGGGAAGGGGGGACGAUUUCUAAUUCAUCAGGCCCUUUAUGUCCGGGGCUUACACACGUGCUACAAUGGCAUAAUCAGAGGGAAGCGUCUCCGAGAGGAUAAGCGAAUCUCAGAAAGUAUGUCUCAGUUCAGAUUGCAGUCUGCAACUCGACUGCAUGAAGUCGGAAUCGCUAGUAAUCGCAGAUCAGCAAAGCUGCGGUGAAUACGUUCCCGGGCCUUGCACUCACCGCCCGUCAAG